rnacentral:sRNA from 1 species
UCACUUUGUGUAAAUAACACACACGUAUCGACACAUAUUCCGGGGUGCCCUUUAGGGUCGGUAAUAUGGGAUACGUGGAGGCAUAAC